CACAAGUACACCCCUGCCACACUCAUAAUCUGCCUUGUCACGGCUCACUGACAAUACAAACCCUUGAUACAAUGACCUCAGAGUUUUUUAUCCUCUCGUCUGAUGAGUAGGAGGUCCAUGAACUCCAAUUCUAUACAAACUCCAACAAUGUCUAAUCACUGCAAUCUGGAUUUAGUCUCUGCCUCUCCUCUUCUCUCCCCUCCUGCAGCGGUGCUGAGAGAGACAUCUUGUGAGCAUUGAAGCAAAACUCUAUUUCUAUUCUUGUCCUCCUGCGCGCAGAGAUGCAUUUGAAACGGGAUUCUCAGGAACAGACGAAUUGAUCAUGAAGGCUUCCACGGCUGAAGAUUUCCCCGGUUCUGCUCUCCUAUUUUUGUAACAUUUCAGUCUGCGUAAGUAAACACAAAGUGCAAUACACAGCACAAGUAUAAAGGAUUUGUGGUUUAAUGUGGAUUAUACACAUCAGAGUUGUCAUGUUAUUUGUGUUCUUGGAUUCAGGUGAGGCUAAAUACAUGUGACAAGCUCACCUUCAAACAUGCUGUUCUGAAACGCAGGUACGUCUGAGGUGACGUGAUGGCUUCUCUUCUCCUGUCACACAUAAUCUGUCAGUCAGUCUGUCAGUCUCUUCCUCUGUCUCUGGGAAUAAGUGACUGUGGUGCAAAAUAAUAAAGAACAUUACUGGGUUGCUGAAAUUAAGUUUGAAUUUUUGGUACUUUGUUUUGCUUCUUUGUACGUCCCUGUACGUAUGUCUCUACUCCGACAUAUUUCAAAUGGAAAUAUUUCUCUCACUGUGUCAGGAGAUGCACAUGUCAGCCAUAGUUACUCCAAAAAACAUUCAAAUUUUUAAGAACAGGCUCAAG